AUGGAGGCGGAGGCCGAGGCGCUCCUGCCGCGGCCGGAGCCGCCGCUGUCCGCCGUGGACCACUUCGGCCGGCCCGCCUCCCGCGGCAGCUCCGGCGGGUGGCCUGCCGCGCUCUUCAUCAUCGGGGUGGAGGUCGCGGAGCGGUUCGCCUUCUGCGGCAUCAUGGGCAACCUGAUGAUCUACCUCACCGGCCCGCUCGGCCAGUCCACGGCGGCCGCCGCGUCGGCCGUCAACGCGUGGCUCGCCGCCGCCAUGCUGCUGCCGCUGCUCGGCUCCGCCGUCGCCGACUCCUGGCUUGGCCGCUACCGCACCGUCAUCUGCGCGUCCCUCCUCUACAUCCUGGGGCUAGCCAUGCUCACCCUGUCAACGGUGCUCGCACCGGGAGAGCGACCAGGGUGCGCCGGCAAGCCGGCCGAUUCAGCCGGGUGCUCCACGAGCUCGUCGGCGCAGGUGGCUCUCUUCUUCUUCUCCCUCUACCUGGUGGCGUUUGCCCAGGGCGGACACAAGCCCUGCGUCCAGGCGUUCGGCGCCGACCAGUUCGACGAGAACGACCCCGGCGAGCUGGCGUCCAGGAGCACCUUCUUCAACUGGUGGUACUUCGCCUCCUACGGCGGCAACACCAUCACCGUCUCCGUCCUCAACUACGUGCAGGAGAGCGUAAGCUGGCAGCUCGGCUUCGCGAUCCCCUGCGCCGCCAUGGCCCUCGCCCUCGCCGUCUUCUGCCUCGGGACCAAGACCUACCGCUUCCAUCCAUUACGAAGUGCUAACAAAUUGCCCGAUGAUGAUUCUGAGAAUUUGCUGGAGCCGCCGAGGAGGGAUCAUGGAGCCACCGCCACCGGAUUGCUGAAGCUGUUCCCCAUAUGGGCAUCCUGCCUGAUCUACGCCGUUGUCCUCUCGCAGUGGUUCACUCUCUUCACCAAGCAGGCAAGCACACUGGACAGGAGGAUAGGCACCCUGGUGGUACCAGCUGCCUCGCUGCAGAACCUGGUAAACGCAUCGCUCAUGAUCUUCCUGCCGGUCUACGAGCGGGUCGUCGUUCCGCUUGCCAGGAAGCACACCAAGAACCCUUCCGGCAUCACGGCGCUGCAAAGGAUCGGCGUCGGGUUGGCGAUUUCGGUCGUGAUGAUGGUCGUUGCUGCUCUUGUGGAGACGAGGAGGCUCCGGGUGGCAAGGAACUACGGCCUGCUUGACAAACCUGAGGUCACCAUCCCCAUGAGCGUGCUGUGGAUGGUUCCGCAGUACCUGCUGAUCGGUCUGUCCGACGCGUUCGCCAUCGUCGGUUUGCAGGAGUUCUUCUACGACCAGGUGCCGGACGGUCUGCGCAGCUUGGGCCUGGCUCUGUUCCUCAGCAUAGCCGGAGCCGGGAACUUCAUCAGCAGCUUCGUCGUGUAUGCCAUUGACAGGGUGACCACUAGCGCCGGGGGGAGCUGGUUCUCCAACAACCUGAACCGAGGGCGCCUCGAUUAUUUUUACUGGUUUCUCACCGUGCUCAGUGCUCUAGGCAUGUUUGCUUACAUGUACUUUGCGCGGGUUUAUGUGCCUAAGAAAAAGGGUGUUUCAGUGCAGUGA
rnacentral:rRNA from 1 species